rnacentral:rRNA from 1 species
UGUGUAGGCGGGUCUGUAAGUCAGAGGUGAAAUCCCACGGCUCAACCGUGGAACUGCCUUUGAUACUGCGGACCUUGAGUCUCGGAGGGGUUGCUGGAAUUCGUGGUGUAGCGGUGAAAUGCGUAGAUAUCACGAGGAACACCAGAGGCGUAGGCGGGCAACUGGACGAGUACUGACGCUGAGGCACGAAAGCGUGGGGAGCAAACA